UACAUUUAUUAGAAAAAUAGAAAUGAUUUUUAAUUUAUUUAAUAAAUAAAUUAUCAUAUGUAGUUUGACCAGCGUGGUCAUGAGGAAGGUCAGAUUCUGUCCGUGUAAGAAGCCGUGAUGACCCUUWUCUUGUUCAAAAAAAUGAAUUAGCCAAUCACAGCCAAGCUUUCGUCCGAAUUCUUCAGUUUCAUGGCGUCAUUCGUGGAGAACACAUCGGAGUGUCAUCGUCCCGUUAAAAUCAGGUGGAAGGAAGACAUACUGCGCAUCAUUUUCGCGCAUGCAGUAUUUUCGCGCCAGUCUUACGCGCCUGUUUUAUGCACUGCAAUAUGGCGAAUCUUUCGAAUUUUUUAACCUGCGAUCUGUAUACUUGUUGCAGCGGAUUUGGUUAUCCCGUUAAUUUCAGCUUUCUGAGCAUGGGGAGAGUUGCGACACGAAUUCACUAACCUUUUAAUCUUGUGGCAACUUUUUUUAUCU